UACGUAGGGGGCAAGCGUUGUCCGGAUUUAUUGGGCGUAAAGCGCGUGUAGGCGGCUGGGUAGGUCCGCUGUGAAAACUCGAGGCUCAACCUCGAGACGUCGGCGGAAACCAUCCAGCUAGAGUCCGGAAGAGGAGAGUGGAAUUCCUGGUGUAGCGGUGAAAUGCGCAGAUAUCAGGAAGAACACCCGUGGCGAAAGCGGCUCUCUGGGCAUGAUCUGACGCUGAGGAGCGAAAGUGUGGGGAGCGAACAGG
rnacentral:rRNA from 1 species